rnacentral:misc_RNA from 1 species
GACGAACCGUCCGAACGUUAUUCGGAAUCACUGGGCUUAAAGAGUGCGUAGGCGGCUUAUCAGGCGGGAUGUGAAAUCCCUCGGCCCAACCGAGGAAUCGCGUUCCGAACCGAUAGGCUCGAGGUGGAUAGGGGCGAACGGAACUGAUGGUGGAGCGGUGAAAUGCGUUGAUAUCAUCAGGAACACCUGUGGCGUAAGCGGUUCGCUGGGUCCAUUCUGACGCUGAGGCACGAAAGCCAGGGUAGCGAACGGG